AUCCAUCUGACGAGUCCCCAAAUAGGAGGAAACGUGAGUUCUGGAU
rnacentral:hammerhead_ribozyme from 1 species